rnacentral:lncRNA from 1 species
GGGGUUAUGGGGGGGUUAUGGGUCCCCCUUCGUCCCCCCACCCCAACUCGUGGGUCACUUAAGGGGGGGGGUUAUGGGGGGGUUAUGGGUCCCCCUUCGUCCCCCCACCCCAACUCGUGGGUCGCUUCAUGGGGGGGUUAUGGGGUUAUGGGGGGGUUGUGGGGGGGUUAUGGGUCCCCCUUCAUCCCCCCACCCCGACUCGUGGGUCGCUUAAGGGGGGGUUAUGGGGGGGGUUAUGGGUCCCCCUUCGUCCCCCCAUCCCAACUCGUGGGUCGCUUAAGGGGGGAGGGGGGGGGGGUUAUGGGUCGCUUCACGGGGGGGGGGUUAUGGGUCCCCCUUCAUCCCCCCAUCCCAACUCGUGGGUCACUUAAGGGGGGGUUAUGGGGUGUGUGGGGGGGUUAUGGGGGGGGUUCUGGGGCGGUUCGGGUCGCGGGGCUCAGCUGAUGUAGACGCGGUGGAAGUCGUGGGCCCCGAAGGCGGCGUUGCAUUUGGGGCACUUCCUCUGGCGGGUGUCGUAGCGGCUCUUGACGCACUCGAAGCAGAAGACGUGGAAGCAUUUGGUCAGCACCGCGUCCUUCUUGCGCGCGUUGCAGCACGGGCACGUCAGGCGGGCCUAUGGGGGGGGGGGGGGGGG